rnacentral:misc_RNA from 1 species
GAUGAAGAACGUAGCGAAAUGCGAUACGUAAUGUGAAUUGCAGAAUUCAGUGAAUCAUCGAGUCUUUGAACGCACAUUGCGCCCCCUGGUAUUCCGGGGGGCAUGCCUGUUCGAGCGUCAUUAAGUCCACUUAAGCCCUGCUUAGUGUUGGGAGACUGCUCCAGCGGUGCUACCCUGUAGCUACCCUGCAGCUCCUCAAAGACAGCGGCGGAGUUGUGGUAUCCUCUGAGCUUAGUAACUUGUUCUAGCUUUCGAGUACACCACUUCCCCUGCCGUAAAACCCUUAAUUUUUAAUGGUUGACCUCGGAUCAGGUAGGAAUACCCGCUGAACUUAAGCAUAUCAAUAAGCGGAGGA